rnacentral:lncRNA from 1 species
GAAGCUCGCCUUUCAAAUCAGUAAAACUGUCUUUCAGUACAAAGGUGUUUGUUUUAAGUAAACAUUCUUGCAAAAAUAGCCUACAAGUGUAUUCCAUCCCCCCCAUACACCUGUCCUUUUAACCCUCAGGGGACCCAACAGUAAAAAUAUAUUAUAUAAACAAUUUGAAAAUAAAAAUAGAAUUAAAAUUAACUCACCCCUCCCACUCCACUCCCCUUCUUUUCUUCUCAGCCGUCACUUCCCAUUUUCCAACACGCGGCACAACACCAUCUCAUUUUCCUUUUUCCCCCCAUUUCCCUUUACUUCUCUCACCAAUUACCACCCCCCAGCCUAUCUCCCCCGAUUUUUUGCUUCUCCGCAAUUACCUCCGGCCUGCCGUCGUGUCCUUUUGUUUCUUCGUCUCCGUAUUGGCAACCACACCCCAUUUGAUUCCAUCGUCGUCCCUCUCUGUACUACCUCUUUUUCCUUCUUUUCACAACCCAUUUCGAUUUUUUUCUGUGAUAUUCUUUUAAUUUUUAUAUGAAAAUAGAUAGUAGAAGGUCCGAUAGAUGUCAGCGGUCGGUGAUGUAACUUGUCAGCAACAACAAUGCAAGCCUGGCGGAGUUCUUGAUUGGAAGAUGGAGAUGAUGGGGAAUGGGUUGGGGUUUUAAAUUUUUUUCUUUUCUUUUCAGAUUUUAAGUGUUGUAUUUAAAAUUUAUUAGUAUUUAAAUUUUUGAUAAAUUUUAAAAUAUAAGAAUAUUUUUGAUAAAGUAUUUAUAAUUUAUAUAUUUUUAUUUUUAAAGUUAUUAAUAACCUUUAUUUAGAUAAAAUUGUUAUUUUAAUAUUUACC